AUUGUACCUUAUAAAAUCACUAUAGCUUGAUAUUUAGUUAUUUAAAAAUACAAAUUGGAGAUUAUUCGAAAUAAUGUUUUUGACGAAUGCCCCUAAUAGUGAACAAUAUACUUUAUAUUAUUAGCAAUUUCGUAGACGAACAUUGGACCGAAUAAUAUUUCGGAUUAAAAACCACCGUAGUUUUCAUUAAGUAUUACGAUUUUCCCGGAUCCUAUAGAGAUAGACAGUAUUUAUGUAUUUUAUUUUCCGUUUAAUUUUUUCCCCUUCACUAUUAACGGGUUUUUUUCUGUUUCAGGCAAAAUUUCAG